rnacentral:rRNA from 1 species
UACGUAGGGGGCAAGCGUUGUCCGGAAUCAUUGGGCGUAAAGCGCGUGUAGGCGGCCCGAUAAGUCCGCUGUGAAAGUCCAGGGCUCAACCCCUGGGAUGCCGGUGGAUACUGUCGGGCUCGAGUCCGGAAGAGGCGAGUGGAAUUCCUGGUGUAGCGGUGAAAUGCGCAGAUAUCAGGAGGAACACCAAUGGCGAAGGCGGCUCACUGGCCCGGAACUGACGCUGAGACGCGAAAGCGUGGGGAGCAAACAGG